rnacentral:rRNA from 1 species
UACAGAGGUCUCGAGCGUUAGGCGGAAUCACUGGGCUUAAAGCGUGUGUAGGCGGAUCGGUAAGUACCUUGUGAAAUCCCACAGCUUAACUGUGGAACUGCUUGGUAUACUGCCGGUCUUGAGCCAGCUAGGGGCUACCGGAACAAAUGGUGGAGCGGUGAAAUGCGUAGAUAUCAUUUGGAACGCCAAUGGUGAAAACAGGUAGCUGGGGCUGUGCUGACGCUGAGACACGAAAGCCAGGGGAGCAAACGGGG